CUUGACCGCUCCUCCCUCCGCGUUGGAGGCGGAAUAGUGGGUUUUGCUGCAACCGGUUUUCUUUCUGUUUUCACCCAUUCUGGCACAAUCCGGCGCCAUCGUCCUUCUUGUGAGGCCAAGCCUGAAAAUGCGAAGCAGAGAGGCAGAACCAAAAUUGAGGCGAAUCCGGGAACCUGCCAAUGGGUCUCCGGGUGCGGUCUCUGAAACUGGAGGAUAUCAGGAGGAAAGGGUAUGGAAGAGGGAUAAAACACGGUGCCCUAGGUGUGUUGAAGACAGAGUCAGGCCAAAAAUAUAUGAUUUACUGAGAUGCGUGUCGUGUUCUUGCGCUUUAUCUUGUAGCUCUCCGAUGCGGAGAGAAUGGGGAAGCUCUUGGCAUGGUUGGCUGUAGGUGUGUGAUACCGGAGGAGCAGGAGUCAAAUAGGAUACGCCGACUUUUAAUUCAAGGAACCCUUUUCUGAAACACUUUGCCACAAUGAAGGAAAUAAGAUUACAGCCGAAAAGAUACAUAUUAAGGUAUUACUUAUUCACACCAG
rnacentral:antisense_RNA from 1 species